CUAGUCUUUUCAUCUUAGCAGGCAAGUGCCAAAGACUUCAGCACAGCACUUUGUACAGCGAAGGGUUAUUCAAAAGACUAUGAUCAUAUUGAACUUGGAAACUUUGAGAAAGCCAUUCUCUAAGAUCAGCCAGAUUUUGUGGUCUUUCAAUUUAUUUUCUUUUGUUUUCUCAAAACUUGUCAAUGUAGUUUUUUGUGUGUAUGUGUGUUUAAGAUGUAUGUAUUUGAAUGUCAGAAAGAAAGAAAGGGAAUGAUAGAUAGAUCUUUACUCAUGAAAUGGCCAUAAUGACCAGGUAUGGGCCAGGCCAAUGCCAGGAGACAGGAGCUUCAUUCAGGUCUCCUAUAUGGGUGGUAGAGGCCAAGGAGGUGGCCAUCUUAUGCUGCUUUCCAAAGCUCAUUAGCAGUGAGCUGGAUCUGAUGUGGAACAGGCAGGGCUCAAACUGGCACCCACAUGGCAUUGCAGGCUGUGUCUUGACCCAUUACAUCAUGAUGCCAUCACCAACAAAACCUUGGAAGUCUAUCACAUUGCAUUAGCCUAAAUUGGAAGUAAAGCUCUUUCACCUAUGGGAACCUAGCCUCUGUUCUUGGCAUGAACAUUUGAUUCCCUAGUUUUGGCAACAUCAUUACUAGAAGGACAUCUGUGGCAUCCUAAAGUCACAUCACAGUAUAGAACAAGGUCUAGUGAUAGAGGGGUUAAAGAUUAGUGUUUUAAAAAUUUGGUCAUGUUUCAAAGAGAAAAAGAUUUGACCCUGGAAGAAUGCAUUUCCCAUGACACUCAUGCGGCUAAUUUGGCAACAUCGGAAUUCAGUCAAAUCAAUUGUGCAGUGACAUGGAGAACAUAUCUCUAGCUUGUUCAAGCACAUUUCAUCUUCCUAGCAUCUGUGUUAACCUUCUGAGAUUCAGGAUAAAAUGAUCCGAGUGAUUUCAGGAAGCUCUUCAUUUAUCUCUUAUUUUGCUAAGACUGACUGGAAGGGCUUCCCAGAAGUCGGGAUGAUGACAAUGUGCUCAGACGUGUGUUUAGUAUCCUCUCGUCAUCUCACUUGCUCCAAUAUGAGCCAUAUCCACGCCAUGGAACCUUUAUGCAGAGGCAAUAGUGGAGCCUGGCAAAUAGCAACUGAAAAACUAAAGCAUUCAAAUCACACUUCAGAGACAUUUCUCCUUGGCCUUUAACAUGCUGCUGCUGAGACAGCUUUUGUCAUCUCCAUUGGAGGCUCACGAUAGGCACUGAGUGGUCAGCAAAAGAUUAAUAAGACCAAAAAUGAGAAACUGGAAUGUUUCAAGCUAAAGCCUUACAUCCAGGCCCCAUUUGUAAAGGGAAAAAAGUGGAAAUAAAAAUUGCAUUAAAGAGAACAGGCGGUUUCAUAGCAUGGUGAACCAAGGCAAACAAAACUCAUGGCGUUGGCACAGAAUGCACUCUGAGGGAGGGGAAUUCAUGUUUUUUCCUUGGCUAUAGAUCAUUUGUGUCAUCCACUGCUGAUUGAUGUCCAUGCCUCUUUGUAACAGUGAGAGUUAAUUUUAUAUAUCCACUGCACUGGGCCAAAGGGUGCCCAGACUUGUGGCCAAACAUUAUUCUGAGUGUGUUAGGCAGGAUAUUCUUGGCUGAGGGUAUACAUUUGAAUUAUGGACUCAGAAAAACAAAUUGUGUUCCCCAACAUGGUUGAGACACUGUCAUCCAGUCAGCUGAGGGCUUGAGUGGAACUAAGGUCCAACCCUCUGGGGAUUGAGAGGGAACGUCUUCUGCCCAUGUGCUCCAGACUACUAGUUCCUUGUGGUCUUCAGAAUCAAACAGAAAAUCUGCCACUGUCCCAGUAGGAACUAUACUGCCGCCCUCCAGAUUCAGAAUGGGACUACGCCAACAGUGUGCAGGUGCACGCACACACACACACACACACACACACAAGCUCUGCCCUAGAGCUGGCCUGUACAUUUUAAAGCAGGACAAUGAGUGGGAAAGGACAAUGGGACAUUUCUCAGCUUUCACAAAUUUCUUCCCUUCCUUGGCUUCUUCUUUGUUGUCCUUCCUCCUGACAGAGGGUUUAUGUUAAUUUGCAUAAUGACCUUCAACAAUAUCUCUGUUUUCAUCUAUUUUUUCACCAUAUAGCUAUAUGUUUUAUGUAGUCCAGAUGUCUCAAAGACUUAACAUUGUACACAAUAUUGUCAGUAGUAAAUGUGUCCAAAAAUAAUACCAUCACAGAUUUUUUUUCCAAAAGGAGAAUUAGAUCCAAACCAAACAGUGAUAUGGCAGACAUUGACCAGUUCUGAGGCUGGUAGAGGAAGGAAGGAAGUGAGGCAGGGAGGGUGGGAUGCGUUUGCUUCGUAUGAGCCAUGAGUUAUCUUGUGUAAUGUCAUUAAGGUGAAUAAGUAGUGCCAUAAGAUCUUACCUACUAGAGUUAAUAAGUCAGUGACAGUUGGGGACUUAUGCACAACUGACUGCUCCAUAAGGUAAUACUGUUGAAGAACUCUGACAGCCCAUGUGUUUGCCAGUGAGUCUGGACUAUUCAUAGUUUACAUUAAGCUAAACAUUCAAACUUUAAAGUAGAGCCCUGCUUCCUGAAUGAGUACAAGUAGAUCCAAACUCUGAUUUAAUUAUCAUCACCUGCCAUACCAUUUCCUGUGAUGAAACAGGAUUCUAGCACAUAACACUAUUUUUUUACACAUAUAUUUGAAAGUUACAGUUAUAGAGACAGAGACACACACACACAGAGAGAGAGGGAGAGAGAGAGAGAGAGAGAGAGAGAGAGUAAGCAAGAGCGAGAGAGCUCUUCCAUCCACUGGUUUGUUUACUCCCUGGCCAAAGCCAGGAUCCAGGAGAUUCAUCUGGCUCUCCUGUGUGGGUUCAGGGACUCAGGACCUGGGCUGUUUUCACUGUUUUUCCAGGCACAUUAGCAAGGAGCUGGAUUGGAAGUGGACUAUCAAGGACUCCAGCUGCCACCCACAUGGGAUACUUGCAUUGCAGGCAGUGGCUUAACCCACUAUGCCACAAUGCUGGUCCCAUAGAUUUUGUUCCAGGAUUCUAAAAAUAAAGAGGCUGUCAGUAUGAAGAAAGGGUAAUACUCAAGAAAAUGUGCUUACAGGGCCUUCACUUGGUUCCAUGUGUUUAUUCUUGAUGAUCAAAACCCCAACACAAACACUUACCACUUAGGAGAUCAAGAAUUCAGAAACUGCUUUCCUGGAUAUCAUUGAAUCCUCUAUGAUUUAUACCCAUAGAUAAGGAUAAUUGUAUAACUAAAAAUAAUUUGCAUGUAUCAAUAAAAUUCAUUUGUGGGCAGAUUUUUUCCUAGUAUAUCUAAGUUAAAGAUCAGAUUAUUAUAUCUCAAAUGAGUAUCAAUCCUUUCUUUUUCAGUCUAUAUACUAAAUUUUCAGAUGACUGAUGUCAUAUUUAUUUUAUAGAUGAGAAAAUUAAGUCUUAGGGUUUUGAACUAUUCAAGGUCAUCCAACUGAUCAGCAGAAAAACUGGAAUUUGAUUACAGAUGUGUUGGACUCCAGAAAGUGGUUUUUGAUACGUUCAUAUGGAUCCUGAAGUUAAACUCAAGCAUGAUCAGCAACUAAGGGAAGGACAAAGUCGAGGGCAAAUCAAGAUGAAAAAGUGGAGUCCUUCUGUCUGCCUCCCUCGCUCCCUCCUGCUCAUUAUCCUUCCCUCCCUGCCUCCAUCCCUCCCUCCCUUCCCUCCACCCUCCCUCCCUCUAUUCAUAAUGUAAACUCUAGCUUCCUUUUAGUACCAAACUGUCACUCAUAUUUAUUCAGUACAGUUCCUGGUUGUAAAUAACUCAGAAACGUAUCCUUUGAAUUGGGGGUAUUUUGCUUUUCCAUUUUUUCUCCCCUUUCCCUUCCUCAAGUUCUUUACUACCAUUCCUAUCCUUUGCCCACUUGACUAAACUGCUUGCCUCCCUUUUCCACUAAGCUUCAUCCCCCCAGAAAAUUCAUCGAGGACACCACUGACUUCUUAAGGUACUUAACAUGAGAAGAAACCCAGUGACCAACUGGUAUGUACUUAUUUUUGCUUGUUUUAUUUUUCCAAUGUAAGUAUAUAAAUGAUGUCUGUUGAUAAAAUAUUUUCCACCUAUUUGAAAAACACAACACUCAGUUCAUAAAAUCUGCUAAGGAAAUUCAGAGUAAUUUGUAGUGAGGGAUGAUUUUUUUUAAAAAAAUAUUUUAUUUAUUUGAAAGGCAAAGUAAGAGAGAGAGAGAGAGAGAUCUCCUCUGGUUCAUUCCCCAAAUGGCCUCAACAGCCAGGGCUUGGCUAGGCUGAAAUCAGGAGCCAGGAAUUUCAUCUAGCUCUUGCUCAUGGGCCCAGGGCCCAAGAACUUGGGCCAUCUUCCGCUGCUUUCCUAGGAGCAUUAACAGGGAGCUGGAUAGGAAGUAGAGCAGCUGAGAUUUGAACCAUGCCCAUAUAGAAAUGCUGUGGCUUUACCCUCUAUGUCACAAUGCUGGUCCACAGGGGUGAUUACUGACAUUCAUACGUUACUGGGGCAUCUCCUAAGUUGCCCCUCUCAAGGUCAACUCUCUGUUUGUAUUAUGGCUAUUACUACUGGGCUCCCCCUAGUUUAAUUUUUUUCUCUUUUCUCCUGGUAAAUUUCCAGUCUCCAAACUUUUUCAACGUACAGGACCUUGAAGGACUUCACUAAUUUGCAACCACAUUUGUUCCUCAUAAUAAUGAGGAAAAAACUUAGAAUUCUACUGGAAAAGAAGGAGUUUUGUGGUUUAUUUUUUUGGAAAGGGUUUUUCAUGUAUGAUAACAUAAUUUUUUAUUUGGAUUUUAAAAACACACAAAAUGUGACAUUCUACACAAUAACUCCCAAUGUAUUUUUUAUUUAAUUUUGCCAAAUGUACUGGGCUCAAAAUUGGAGGGCAAUUCAUUUUCUUUUCUUUCUUUCCUACAGCCAAGAUUGUUUUUACUUUGCUCAUACUCUGGAACCUUGUAUCUUGUUGAAAUGUAAUGGUGAUCUCACAGGUACUUUAUCAACAAUGAACUAGAGGGACUCAGCAGAGCUUCGGUUUGGAGUAAUACAUCAUAUUGUGAUUCUGAUUCCAAUAUUCCAGUGACUAUGGGAGGACCUACAGAUGAUAUACACAUCUCUCUUCUCAUCACACACCUGGUCCUGGAGUGGGAACAUGCAUGGAGGGUCACUUUUCCUCCAGCCUCACCAAUCAACAUCAGAGCUGUCAGAAUGGAGGAAGAAAAUGUAUGCUUGUACUCAUUAGGAAAGUUGGUGGAAACAUAAUUUUUAUGGUCUUUCUCAAGGCUAUUUAGUUGGAAAGGGCAAAUGUCUUCAGGAGUCUGUGUGUUUGUGUAUGCGUAUGUAUGUGUGUGUGUGUAUCAGCUCCUCACAAAUGCCACAAAACUGGCUGACUGACAAGACCAUAUUGUGAUCUUUGGAAAAAUUGGGCUUUAUUCUUGGCAAUAAGAGGAAGGCCAGGCUGGAGUUACCCUUCUGGCAUAAAAAUACCAACAGCAAGGCAAGAACAAUCACUGCAGCUUCCGGCUACCAAAUGGGACAGUUCAUCUAUGGAAACUUCAGGCCAGGAGACCCACUGACUGGAGACUCAUAUAGCAGCCCCAGACCACAGCUGGAGAGGAAGCCGGGCAACACAUCUCAGCUUAAGAUAAAUAGAAGCACUGAGCAUUUCCACAUAGAAUGGAAACUGCUUCUCCUCUAGAAAAGAAAAGCAGUAGCUGAGAGUGAGUGAACAUCAUCCACAGAGAGAAGAUCAGAGAAUGCCAAGAAAUGGAAAAGAAAAAGGGAAUUCCGCUCCGGUAUUAUCAUCAGCGGCUCAUUACUACUGAUGGUGACUUCUUCAGUGACAGUCACUUUGAAGUUUGAAAAGUGCUUCCUGGGACCAUGAAGAAUGCUCAUGGGGGAUGAGCAAAAGUCACUGCAACACCUUUGAACUGCUCCACAGUGAAACUCAUAAAAGGAACUCAGAUAAAAAUGAAGAAUGUUCAUACAACAAAGAAUACAGAAGAACAAGGGCAACAACAAUAAAUCAUAUAUAAUAACCUAAGGGAAUAAAGAGAAGGUAAGACAUGCAUAUGAGUAGGUUUGAUACUCAAGGAAAAUUAGGUGUUCUUGGAAAUCAAAAAUAUGAAACCAACUGAAAAAAUAAAUAGCAGUUUUGCAUACAAUGCUAAAAUACAUGACAAAAGACAAAAGCAAAAAUUAAAAAGGGGCAAGAGAAUUAGAUUAAUCCAUUAAGUAUGGAUAGAAAUAACAGAAAAAAUGGAAGGGUGUUAUCAAAUAAAUAAAUAAAGUUCCAUACUUGAGGAACAUUAAGUUCUAGAUUAAAGGUACCUGUGAACAUAUUCUGAAGUGGAUGAGGAAAACAGUUGGAAGCACUCUGGCCUUCUCCCACCCCGACAGGACAGGAGGAAUGAGGGUCACCCUGCCCUUUUAGGGUCCACUGAUAAGUUUUCACUUGUCAAACAGACCUUGUCACUAUCAAAAGCCCAGUUGCUAUCUCCCUUCUUCCUUGUUGUUGUUGUUGUUGUUGUUUUAAGAUUUAUGUAUUUGAAAGGCAAAGUAACAGAGAGAAUGAAAUCUUCCAUUCACUAGUUGGCUUCAACAGCCAAGUCUAGCACAGGCUGAAGCCAGGUGUUGGAAUCUACAUCCAGGUCCUACAUGAGUGACUAGGGCCCGACUACUUGAACUGUCUUGUUUUCCCAUGUGUAUUAGCAGGGAGCUGGGUUGGAAGCAGAGCAGCCAGGACUCAAACAAGCACUCUGAUAUGGAAUGCAGGCAUCACAAGCUAUGGCUUAAACUGCCACAGCUCAAUGCCCACCUCUUUCCUUCUUAACAGAUGCAUAAACCAGAUGGGUUUUUCUGCUAUGAUUUUGUUCCUAUCACUUAUAGCUAUAGUUCACAGGGAAUUGUCUUGUUAAAGUUGUUUUCUUAAAAAUUUAUGUAUUUAAUUUUAUUACUGGAAAGGCAGAAAAAUUGGGGAAGGGGAGAGAAAGAAAGAUACAGAGAGAUCUCCUGUCUACUAGUUCACUCUGUAAAUUCCCACAGUAGUCUGGGUUAGGCCAGGCUGAAGCCAGGAACUCAAUCUGGGUAACUCAUAAGGGUGGCAAGCACAAACCUCUUGAGUCAUCACCUGAUGCCUCCCAGGGUGCGCAUUAGCAGAAAGUUGGAAUGGAGGGUAGAACAGUGACCCAAUCCCAGGUGCUCUGGUAGUAUGAGAACACAUCAAACAGUGAAUUAUUGUGCCAGAACAACAGCUACACUUAGUUUUGUUGUAAAUGUUGUUGAUGAGUCUUCUGUUUCACUUUUCAACUUCCAUGUCUGUCUUUAUGUGAGAGCUUAAAAAUAUUUUUAAAAAAUUAUCCUGUGUCUCUAUUGUUCCAGAAUUUUCCAGUUUUUAAACUACACAUGUAUAAAUGAGAAGCUUAAAAUAGCAUUUAUUAGGUCACAGUUCUAUAUGUCAGAAGGUUUUUGUAUGGGUUUUCCUUUUGCCAAAGAUACCUCAAAGCUGAAAUCAACAACAUGUUUUGGCUGAGUUUUUCAUACAAAGGAUAACGGAGUGAAUCUCCUUCUGAACGCUGUCGACCUAACUCAUUUGCUCACUGUUGUGGGACUGAGGUUACAGUUUCCUUCCUGGCUGCCAACUGAGGGCAGCUAUCAAUUCCCGGCUGCCAUAUGUAUGCUUUGAUAAACAGACCCCUUCACCUGCAAGCCAGCAGUGGAGUAUUUGGUCUUUCUUACAACUUGAAUCUCUAGUUUUCUUUUCUGCAACAACUUAGGCAAAAAGUACUUGCUUUCAUGUGACUAUGUCAUGCCCCUGUGAAUUUUCUCCCUAUCUAAGGUAAACUGCAUAAGCCCAAUCAGAUCCAUCCUAUUUGAAGUCCCAGAUAUGAGGAAAGUUAUGUACACCAGGGGAAGGAGGGGGGAUAGAAAUUCUUGGAGAUCAUCCUAGAAUUCUGCCAACUGUAGUCCUUCCUCUGACUUUGGAAUCAAUGAAAAGUGAGAUAACGAAAAUUAUUAUCAAAGUGCCAAUUCUAUUUCUGAUGGAGUUGCUUAGAGAAUGUGGCCUCUGGACAAUGACUAAACAAAUAGGCGUGUGGGUACUCCUCAGUAUCAGCCCCUUUACUCUUCCUAUCCCUCAUAUCAGGUUCAAUUUCAGGCCUCCCUAAAGGAGAAAGAGCCUGACUUCAGAAACCACCUCAUAGCAGGCAAGGAAAGCAGAAUGUACCUUCUCUGCAGCCAGAAAGAUCUGAGACCAAUAGAAACUGCAUAAAACAAAAGAGCAGUAUUGAAAUUUGCUCAUUCAGACUUGGGUCUCCUUUCUCAAAACUUAUCACCUGGAUAACCUGGUUCUCCCACCCUGAGUAGAAAUGUGUAAAAUGCAGAGAGAGCUUGUUUACUGUAUAUCAAGUACCCUCAGGUGAAAAUGCAAGAAUAAGAAAAUGCAAUUUCCUGUUUUUCCUCUAACACCUAUCACUUUUGUCCAUCUGGCAUUCCUUAGACCAAAAUGCUCUUCUUCUGGAUCUAUACAUAACAAAUUCCUGAAUAAUUUAGGUGAAUUCAGAAUAUAAAUAUUGAGGUACAACAUAAAUUUUAGACAUUCUGACAGAUAUUUCCAUAUUAUCCAUAGCUAAACAAACAAUAGUUUUGUCCUUCAAAAGGCAAUAAACAAACAAAAACUUUGCAAUCUACUAGUAAGAUUGACCAAAAAUAUAAAUACCUAGAAUGAAAGUAAAAUACUUCCAUGCAAUGAAGACAAUGUAACAAAGAGCCCUGAGGGAAGGAAGUCAGAUCAUCCAAGUCAGAAUGGGAAGUGGUGGAAAUGGUGGGAAGUUGACAUGGCAGUCAUGAGAAAAGUUUGGAUAUGGGUCAUAACAAAGGAACUAAAGAGUAUAAGGUCCCCCUUCUAGUCCUGAAGGACUGGGUGUGAGAGUUGGGAGGCAACCGAGGGCUGUAUAUGACUCAGCCUGCUUCGUAACCCCUGCUCUGUUUAUCUCAACCCUUUAAAGGGACAUUGGUCUAUAGGAUAACUCUGGACUUCAGACUUUCAUAAUUUUAUAUUUUAAAAUGCGAAGAGGCUUUUCAUUCUAAAGCAGAAGAAAUAUAUUACAACUCACUAUUAUAAUAGGCCCCCUACCAUUUACAAAGAACCACACAGACUUCACAACAUGAAGAUCAUAGAAACUAUGGCACAUUAUUCUACGGGUGCCUUGAGCACAGCUUGUUCCACAAUGUGCACAUUAUUCUACUUUUCCACUUAAAUCUAUUCAGCUUCCUAUAUUCCUCUACAUUAUCAACAUUAUCAAAGGCAGGUCGUCCUACAAACUGGAACUCAAAGGGCCUUCCUUCAUUAUCACCAAUGGGUGAAAAAUCACUUUUUACUCAAUCUCUAAAAACUUCAUUGAUUCUAAAUCUGCCGUUUCAGCUCUACAUUCUUAAGACCAUUCACAUUUCUUAUUGAGAUUUAUUAAAGAUUACUUCCCAAAUUAACUUUUUGGUCCAAAUUUUGCAAUUUAUCGAGCCUUCAUUGAGCCUGAUACCAGGAUCUGUUAAAAAAUAGCAUAAUACUGAAAUCGGACAUGACCCCCUAAAAUUUACACUGAAAUGUGGCCCUUCAACGUUCCCCAGAUGUGCUAUCUGGGGUGCCACAUGUGCUACCAGAAUUUGGGGUGCUGUACAAUUUCACCAUAUGCUUAUUAAUAAAUCCCCAAUAUUAAUACGUCCAAGAAGGUUCUUGCCUAAUAUUUAGAGAAGAAUUCUAAAUACAGGCACAGAUAAAUGAGUCAGCAUGAUACAUUUUAGGCUUUUGUUUAGUGAGAAAGAUGCAUAGGAGAGUGAGAGUUUUAUUUAAGAGGGAGAGGUAAAUAGGGGUUCAUACCGAGCACCAGGAACCAGUCACGUGGAUGAGCAUCUAGGCCAGUAAGCCUAGAGCACAUGGCCUGAAGGCCAUGCGCCCUGGAGGCACAGGGCUACAGCAAGCCCUGUCCUGGUGAGAGGCCAGGGAAGAAGAGAUGGGCCGGGCCACACUGUGUCCUGGCUUCUAACCCACUUCCAAAGGGGAGUGGUUA